CCCGAGGGGCAUCAGCAGCAGGGGAGCACAGAGGGAACCGCAGAGCAGGGAGCCCAGGGGAAAGGGUUUCUCAGCGCCGUGCCAGCCGUCCCGCUGCAGCUCCCCUGGGCCGCUGAGCAGCUGGCCUUGCCAUAUGAUCUCCUCUCCACCUCCACAGGGCUGCAGCCAGAGCCCGGAGCGGGACGCAGCCCUGCCAGGCGGCUCGGAAGAAGCCUCCCCCGGCCGAGCCAGCUGAAGCCAUGGGAAGCUGCCGUGCGGAGCGCUUACAAGGGGCCCAUUAUGGGAGGAAGGAGCCAAGAGGCCAGGGUCGGGCAGAUGAAAGGUGCAUCUCAGCAUCCCUACCUGAGAGCAGCUACUGGAUGCCUGCGGGAGAACACGAGAGAUGGGGGACGCACAGGGCAAUCCUUUCCCUCUACCCUCACGUUUGCCUGCAGGGCAGGGGCUCUUGGAACCAGAGCCCCUGGAGCCACCACCAAGAGCCCCCGGACCUUCCCAGCCUCACCCAGCAAGCAGGUGCUCUCACAGGGAUGUGCGGAGCUGUUCGACCCUACAGGAGUGCUACAGAGCAGCAGUGGCCACCGAGGGCAUGGAACUCACGCAGACAGAGCGCGGACGGUCGGGCUGCUCGCCGCCGAGAUCAAACCCACGCCUGGGAAGAGAGAUUAGCAGCAGAGAGAGGAUGGAGAGCGCGAGCCGACGGCGGGAAGCACAGCGCUGGCCCGGGAGGGUGAGCUGCAGGGUUCACAACCCACAUGUGCUUCUUCCUCAUCUGUGAGCGGACCCCUAACGCGCUGCAGAUGGGACACAUUCCACGGAUUCAGGAGCUGCCUGGAGCUCCCAGAGAGGAAAAGGAGCCCUCCCCCGGCACGGGCUGAAGGGCAGGUGAAGGUUGGCCAGCCCCACGGCUCAAAAAGCAGAGCACAGAGCCACCUUUCAGAGGUGCAAGUCACAGCCACUCUGAAAAAAAGUCAAGAGACGAGGCAGGAAUGCACAGGGAGCUGGAUGGAGAAACAGCUUCCAGCAGUGCAGAUAUCUCUGGAGAGGACCUCUAACACCAAGGACAUUGGAGAGGCAAGAAAAGUGGUGUCUAAAUGUGAGAGCACAGCCAGCAAAUCCUCCACAGACACCAUCUGACACCCUGGCUGUGCCACAGUGCACACACAGCUCAGCACACACGCUGGCAGGACACCCAGGGAAGGAGAUGUUCCCACUGGACCAUUGGGAACAGACCCAAGCAGACACACGCUGGCCCUCCAGCCACCUCCACCCACUCUCGGUGUGUCCCUCAGGGUACAUCCCGGCCUCCCCCCGUGACGAGGAGGCCAGCAGGCAGCCGAGAACCAUGUCAGUGACGGCAUCUCGUCAGAAAACAGAACACAAAUUGUCCAGCACCUCCUAGCUGGGUUUAUUGCUCCUUCUGCUUUCGUUUAGCCAGGACCCUCUCCGAGUCGGGGGCGGGAGGCACAGCCCAGCCAAGUGGGUGUCCCCUGGCCAGACUCUUUGGUCGUGCUGUUGUCUAAACACAUGUCCGUACGUUACCGGGGGCUGAGACCACACGCUGGAAAGGAGGAUACAACACGAGAGGAAAACAUGCUGCUGUGAAGGAGGAGAAACCUGGAGAGCAGGAACAGAUGGCAGAACCCAAGGGAUGGGAGUGAGGAGUGAGGCAGAGAGGAGAUCGCUGUGGGCUACUGCUGCAGAAAGGCUCUGGUGGGGCUGGCUGCAGAGCACAGCUGGCUCCUUAUUUAUCCAUCACGUUAUUUCAAGCCCCUUCAGCAACUCGUCCAGAAGAAAAAAAGAAGAAAAAAAAAAAA